rnacentral:rRNA from 1 species
ACACAUGCCAAGUCGAGCGUAAACAGUCCAUUCCGGGGGCGAGUAAAGCGGCAGACGUGAGUAAUACAUAGGUCAUCUACUUCGAGCUUGGGAUAACCCGUGCGCAACUGGGCUAAUACAGGAUAGCGCACCACGGAGUAGUCGCGUGGUAAAAGGUGGCUUAUUUUUUAAAUGAGCUAUCACUUGAGGAUGAGCCUUGGCGUAUCAGCUUGUUGGUGAGGUAAGAGCUUCAAGGUAUGAGGGUAGACUGGUUUGAGAGGACGACCAGCCACACUGGGACUGAGACACGGCCCAGACUCCUAGCGGGAGGCACAGUGGGGAAUACUUGGGCAUAUGGGCUGCAUACGCUCUGAUCGCCAGGCGACCCGACGUGGGUGAUGAAGGCUUGUCGGAUUGUAAAGCCCUGUCAUGUGGAAAGAACAGUCCCGUGGUGAAUAUCCAGCGGGAUUUGACGGUACCAUCAGGAGAAGCACCCAGCUAGGUCC